ACUGGUCAGAGCAAGCAAAGACACGCUGAAAAACAAAUAUGAAUGAAGCCGUAUUUUGCAAUAUUAAAUCACCAUUCCUUUUACCGGCCUGAAGCAAAGCGGGGUGUGCCAGGACCGGCCUCGAAAUCAGCGACAGGUGGCCCAUGGCAAAGGCCUGGUACUUGACUGCCCCCAAGCCAGGGAUACGCUGAAGACCGCAACAGCGGAGCAGGCGGAAGACGAUAGAUGUUUUAACCACAACGACUGCGAUGGCGGAAAAAGGCACCCCCACAUCCAUGUGGGCUCAGUUAUGGGGAAAUAACGACCCAAGACCUCAACGGUUGAACAAGUGGAGGAUGACUGCCAAACCUAUGGAGUGUCACAACGGCUGGGAUGGCAGAUGAAGGCUGCAGCAGAAAAGGGUCCCCAGUCGUCUUGGACUCCAUGCCACUGGACCCUGACCCGGAUCUGUCAAGGAUCGUGUAUGUGGUGACUGUCUGUGCACCAGUCUCCCCACGUUAAACAAAGUCACGCACAGGCAUCCUCCAUGAAGGGAUACAUACCCCCCUACCAGGAGGAUUGUCAUACUCGCUUCGAGUGACCGCCGAUGAAUGAAUGAAUUUGAGUUAAUUUAAUUUCCUUUACUUAUGUCCUCUGUGUAUUUAAUUUAUAUUUGUGUGUCUCAUGACACAUUAUCUGUAUGUGAUAUAUGCUGAUUGUCUGCCAUGUUGUUCCAGACCACAGCAAACA